GCGGCAGUUUCAAUAAUCAGGAAAGCUGAUAGCACGGGCCGUGUUUCACGAAAGGCUGUUGUCAAACAAGACGAUUUGCCCCUUUCCGCGCGAGCCAAUAUGUCUACGCUUGAUUUUCAACUUAGACGACCACGUGUCCCUGAAUAAAUAGGAGUCUUUCAGGCUCGACCGAAUGAAGAUGCACACUAUGGAUGCACGUGAAGACUUCAAAACAGCACGUAACUAUGACAUCAACGCAUGGUCCAGCUAGAUUAUAGCAAAAUGUGAAACUAAUAAAAUUCGACACUUCAAAAAUGAUAAGUACACUCAAUAAUAAUAAUAAUAAUAACAAUUAUCAUUAUUUGUGCAUCUUUUGUAUGUCAGCGCCUUGUAAACAACUAAUCCUGGUUGAACUGUGUUUCGGUUAUUCGUUCUCAGGUAUAAGCCUGCUUUGUCCCGUUCCCUGUGUGUUAAAUAGUUUUUUUUUUUCAGUUACAGAAAAACCACAAUGGCGUAUUAGAGAUUAGUAUCAACUCCGUCACAUUCUCGUCAUGUAAAUUCAUGGGCAAUCGCCGUCUCACCUCAAUAUAAUUCGUUUGUGGACAAAACAACGAAAGCAGAAUGAUUCAAGUUGUCGGUGUAUCUUUUUGUCAUCAUGGACGUCGAAGUGUACAUUUGUCGAUUGGCGCGUGCUGAAUAA